GAUGAACGCUGGCGGCGCUGCCUAAUGCUUGCCUGUCAAGCGAACAGACUAGGAGCUUACUCCUCUGACGUUAGCAGCGGACGGGUGAGUGACACCUGGAUAACCGACCUAGAAUACUGGCAUAACUUCGGGAAACCGGAGCUAGUACCGUAUAACAUGUGGAACCGCCUGGUUCAACAGGGAAAGACGGUCUUGCUGUCUCUUAUACAUGGAUCCGCGUCGCAUUAGCUAGUUGGUAAGGGAGCGGCUUACCAAGGCGGCGAUGCGUAUCCGAGCUGACAGGGUGAUCGGCCACUCUGGAACUGACACACGGUCCAAACUCCUACGGGAGGUGGCCCUACGGAAUCUUCCGCCCUGGGAGAGAGCCAGACUGACCCUCGCCGCGUGAGUGAAUAACGUCAUCUGAUCGGGAAACUCUGGUAGUAUGGAAGAACAACUGUGGCACCAACUAUGGACGUCUUGACCGUACCUACUCUUAAAGCCACGGCUAGCUACCUGCCUCCACCCGCGGUAAGACUUAUGUGGCAAGCGCUAUCCUGAAGUAUUGGACGCUCCGCGCGCGUAGGCGGUUUUUUAAGUCUGAUGUGAAAGCCCACGGCUCAACCGUGGAGGGUCAUUGGAAACCGAAAAACUUGAGUGCAGAAGAGGAAAGUGGAAUUCCAUGUGUAGCGGUGAAAUGCGCAGAGAUAUGGAGGAACACCAGUGGCGAAGGCGACUUUCUGGUCUGUAACUGACGCUGAUGUGCGAAAGCGUGGGGAUCAAACAGGAUUAGAUACCCUGGUAGUCCACGCCGUAAACGAUGAGUGCUAAGUGUUAGGGGGUUUCCGCCCCUUAGUGCUGCAGCUAACGCAUUAAGCACUCCGCCUGGGGAGUACGGCCGCAAGGCUUAAACUCAAAGGAAUUGACGGGGACCCGCACAAGCGGUGGAGCAUGUGGUUUAAUUCGAAGCAACGCGAAGAACCUUACCAAAUCUUGACAUCCUUUGACCGCUCUAGAGAUAGAGUCUUCCCCUUCGGGGGACAAAGUGACAGGUGGUGCAUGGUUGUCGUCAGCUCGUGUCGUGAGAUGUUGGGUUAAGUCCCGCAACGAGCGCAACCCUUAAGCUUAGUUGCCAUCAUUCAGUUGGGCACUCUAAGUUGACUGCCGGUGACAAACCGGAGGAAGGUGGGGAUGACGUCAAAUCAUCAUGCCCCUUAUGAUUUGGGCUACACACGUGCUACAAUGGACAAUACAAAGGGCAGCGAAACCGCGAGGUCAAGCAAAUCCCAUAAAGUUGUUCUCAGUUCGGAUUGUAGUCUGCAACUCGACUACAUGAAGCUGGAAUCGCUAGUAAUCGUAGAUCAGCAUGCUACGGUGAAUACGUUCCCGGGUCU
rnacentral:rRNA from 1 species